GGUUGUUUGAUCAUUGGGCAAUGUGGUGUUUAGGUUUGUCGACGGAAUUACUGCUCCACUCCAAGUCCAAUGUUGAGCAUGGCUAACAGACAUGGCCCACAGAGGGUGUAAGGCCCGUGGGAGUGGAGAUCUCGGCAGUAAUUUCUCGGGCAUACCUUGGAGUCGGGUUGUUUGAGAAUGCAGCCCAAAGUGGGUGGUAAACUCCAUCCAAGGCUCAAUAUUCGCACGAGUCCGAUAGCGAACAAGUACCGUGAGGGAAAGUUGAAAAGCACUCUGAAGAGAGAGUGAACAGUACGUGAAACCGCUCAGAGGUAAACGGGUAGAGCUGAACUGCAAACCCGCGGAGAUUCAGCUAGCAAGUAUGACCGUGUGGCCAACAUAGGUGUCUGCGUAAAUGCAGGUCGUGCCCUCGUGGUAUGAUUAGCAAUGCACUCAUGAUGUGUUGUAUGCAUCCGUGUUUGGUGGCCAGCUUGUUAGUGCACUUCUUCCGGGUGUUCAUCACGACCGGCGCUGUCAUCUGUCUGCUGUAGUCAAACCAGUAGUUUUUGUGUCCUUGUGGCGCGAUUCUGUUGGGAUGGCAGGUAACUUGUUGGCUUUCGGGUCUUCAAGCGUAAUAGCCGACUGCAGUGGAACUGUGUGAUGUGUCGGAUAUGGCGGUCUUCGGGCCGACAGUCUGUGAUGUCGUGGUAUGCUCUCUACCCGACCCGUCUUGAAACACGGACCAAGGAGUUUAACAUGUGCGCGAGUCAUUGGGUUAUACGAAACCUACAGGCGUAAUGAAAGUAAUGGUGAGAUCCGGGCACUUCGGUGUUUGGCGCAUCACCGGCCCGUCCCGUUGUGUUGUCGUAGCCUCCGGGUUGCGCGUCACUGGGGUGGAGCAUGAGCGUACAUGUUGAGACCCGAAAGAUGGUGAACUAUACUUGCGUAGAUUGAAGCCAGGGGAAACUCUGGUGGAUGGUCGAAGCGAUUCUGACGUGCAAAUCGAUCGUCAAACGUGAGUAUA
rnacentral:sRNA from 1 species